UCUGGCGGCAUUACCUUUUUCAAAAACCUAUACUCUAACCCCCUGAUCCCUGUUAACCCAAACAUUUUGCUUUUUGUUAACGUUUUUGCCCUAAAUAAAUAUAUGAAGGAUAUCCACACCCAACUUCUCUCUCUGGCUUCAUUUCACUUGUUUCACUUGUUUCCUCACCAUUUCUCUCUCGCUCUAUGCGUUCCCCCCUCUGUCUCUCUCUCAGGCCCUCUCUUCCCCAAACCUCCACUCUCUCUCUACAAUUUCUCUCUGGUUUCUCUCAAAUUUUCUCCCUGGUUUCUCUCUACAUCUGCUGAUUUUUUCUCUCUCUCUAAAAACACACGCUCAACCCUGUCAUUCACUCUCUCACUCCAUGAGUAAGCAAAACAGAACUCUCAAAACACGCCUCUCUUUCUCUUUCUCUCUCUAACUUGAAUAGAAAACCAAAAGGGGCUCAACGCUGUCCCUCACUCUCUCUCUAGCUAUCUUCUUCUUGGGUAGUUAACAGUCACUAAAAACCACCGUUUUGGUCUCUUAGCCUCUCUGUCUCUGUCUCUCUUUUCCCGGUGGUGGUGCCACCUCUUCUCCACUACCAUGUCCGUCACUUUCCUCCUCCUCUUCUCUCCUCACCGGGAAACCAUCCGCUAUUGCCGGUAAACCAUUUACAAUCUAUCGAAGGGUCCUCCACCAGCCA
rnacentral:lncRNA from 1 species